rnacentral:rRNA from 1 species
GACGAACGCUGGCGGCGUGCUUAACACAUGCAAGUCGAACGGAAAGGCCUGCUUUCCCUUGUGGAUUGCGGGUACUCGAGUGGCGAACGGGUGAGUAACACGUGAGUGAUCUGCCCCCAACUUGGGUAUAAGCCUGGGAAACUGGGUCUAAUUCCCGAUAGGACUGCAGGGUGGUGCCUGUGGUGGAAAACGAUUUUCUAGUGGUUGGGGAUGAGCUCGCGGCCUAUCAGCUUGUUGGUUGGGUAAUGGCCUACCAAGGCGGCGACGGGCAGCCGGCCUGAGAUGGUGGACGGUCACAUUGGGACUGAGAUACGGCCCAGACUCCUACGGGAGGCAGCAGUGGGGAAUAUUGCACAAUGGGCGGAAGCCUGAUGCAGCGACGCCGCGUGGGGGAUGACGGCCUUCGGGUUGUAAACUCCUUUCGACCGCGAGGAAGCCACCUGGUUGGAAGGGUGGUGACGGUAGUGGGAGAAGAAGCACCGGCUAACUGCG